GCGGUUUUUUAGGAUGUCUUUUGUCCGCUUUUAAACGCCCUCCUGCUUCAGGUUUUACUAUCUGCCUAGCUUUGGAGAGGAAUCAAAAACUAGUC
rnacentral:telomerase_RNA from 1 species